GGGGGUAUAGUUUAGUGGUACAGCACUUGCCUAGCAUGUGCAAGGCCUUGGGUUCAAUCCCCAGUACCUCAG
rfam:Ictidomys tridecemlineatus contig044399, whole genome shotgun sequence.